GCCAGGGUCACCCGCUUUCGAGAGAGGAGCUGCCGUUCUGCGGCCUCGGGUUGAAUGCAAGCAAUGGACAUUGAGAAGGUCAACUCCAUGGACUUUGGGGAAUUUGUGGAUGUGUUUGGGAAUGUCAUUGAGAGGUGUCCUCUGAUUGCCGCUGCUGUUUGGUCCCAGCGCCCGUUCUCCAACUUGGAAGAUUUAGAGAAGCACUUCUUUGCCUUCAUUGACGCCCUUCCGCAGUCAGGCCAAGAGGGCAUCCUGCGCUGCCACCCGGACCUGGCGGGCCGCGAGCUGCAGCAGGGCACGCUCACCGCCGAGUCGCAGAAGGAGCAGAGAGGCGCGGGCCUGACGAGCCUGAACACCGACGAGCGGCUCCGGCUGGCGGAGCUCAACGCGCAGUACCGCGCGCGCUUCGGCUUCCCCUUCGUGCUCGCCGCGCGCCUGAGCAACAGGGCGGCGGUGCCGCGGGAGCUGGCGCGCAGGCUGCACUGCCCGCCCGCGCAGGAGCUGCGCACCGCCCUAGGCGAGGUGAAGAAGAUCGGCCACCUGCGUCUCGCUGACCUCCUGGGCGCGGAGCAAACCUGACUGUAGCGGCCGCGCGAGCCCGGGACCCGGGGCGCACGUCCGGACGCGCGGGGACGGGAGCUGGCGCGGGCCGGGAACGGCGUCCAACACGCGCGCAGAGGGAGGGGAGACCUGAAGCCACCGCACGAAUAAUGAGCCCUUUUGUCCACCCACCCACACGCGCACGCUUUGCCAAAAUCUCUGUAGAGUUUCUGUUGGCACAGGAGAAACAAGCCAUACCUGCCCUCCUAGAUGCAGACAUGGUAACAAGUGAAGGCCCUUUUGAAGACUGGAACCUCCAUUAGGGACCAUCCCAGGCCCAGGGUAGCAGCAGCAACAGCAGCAAAAAAAAUCUUCUUUUCACAAAAAGUGUGGCCACACCUCGGUUGGGGGGGCUGAAUCCCACAGAAAGAAGCCGCUCUGACCACACCAGGAGGAAGUUCUGUAGGGGGAGACCCUGGAUCCACCCCUGAAAGGAGCUGGGAGGUUCCUCUGGCCAAGACUCCUGAGCUCUUAUAGCCUUGCAGGCAGACGCAGGACGCGGGACGUAGGCGCCAGGCUGGCAAGGGCCCUGGCAAAUACAACUGACAGCUCUGGCUUUUUUUUUCUCCAGUAGGAGCAAAGAGCCCGAGGCCAGGUCUUGUGGGAGCGGGUCACCUGUGGCUGCCAAAGUCUGGGAGAGCAGUUUUCUGUGGACUCACACAGCAACACGCCCUGGGCUUGUGCUGGCCUUGGCCUGGCGGAGACGUUUUUUCGUUUCCGUGCUGCCCUGCGCAAGAGGCGGGAGACAAACCCGGAUGGCAGAGACGAAGGGCCACCGUCUGAGGCCUUCAUGUGUGUGCACCAGCACAGGUGGCGGGAUGGCCUGAGAGCGUUGGGCAUCUGGGGUUCCAGAGUUGUUGGUGCAGAUUCUAGGGUGGAUAAUUUAAUAUUUUACUUACUAAUUCGUUAACACACAAACACAAUAGCAAUGCAAAAAAUAGUUGGAAGGCGAGGAGCUGCUUUCGGUCCCCUAACCCUGCAGCCCUUCCAAGCACGCUCCCUUCCCAGGUGCUGGUACUGCUUUGCCAAUUUUCACCCCCCUCUUAAAAUGUCCAACCCCAACCCAGCGUGUGCUCUGAGCAAAAAGACCGAGAGCUCCCGCUAGGAAUCCACGAGCCCAAUCCUAGCUUGGCAUUCACAUGUGUAACUGAGAAACCAAAUUGGGGAGGGGUCUGCUUUCAUUUGCCCAGAGACGCCGGCUUUUUGGUCUGUGUGUCCAAAAGAUGUCCACGGACACGGGCAUGGGAAGAAGAGAAAGGGGGAAAAGGACAAGACAAUUUCUUUGCAUAAAUUUCUUUAUUCAUUUUAAAUUUGACACACUUCCAGAGAUCAGCCUUAGGAUGUCAAUUCCAGUUCAAAAAUAAAGAGCUCUUUUUAGAAAGUAUGUACUGUAGGACAGGAGUAGAUGGAGACCUUCUUUGGUAACUGGUGGAAAACUUGGGAUGAAAUUUAUGGAAAAUUGGCCAUUCAAUAAACUAAUAAACAGCAGUUAGCAGG